rnacentral:lncRNA from 1 species
UCCCAACAACUAGCUUCCCUUUUCUUCGCAAUUCUUCGUUGAUGUAAGUGUACUGAGGGUGAGAUAGCUUGUUGGCUUUCAACUCCGUGAUCAGCUUGGAGAGAUGAGAAUCUGUCUGCCAUAGAAGCUUCAGGGAAUCGAAGAACCCUUGCUGAGCUUGAGAUAGCGAGAUGUGGAGUAGUUGGGAACCUGAGACCCAAGAUAAGGCAUCUGCAGCAACGUUUUCUUUCCCCAGCUUGUACUGCACCUCAAAAUCAUAUCCCAUUAGCU